AAUUUUUGCUAAUUUGUAGUUAGUGAUUUUUACCCUAAAGCUCUUGGACCCAUUCUUUCUCUGGAUGGAAAAUGCACUGGUUACCUGGAGACUUGAAUAUGCUUCCACCAUGUGAGGACAGGAGGUUUCCUUGGGCUCUGGAUCCCUGGGUUUGUGUCCAGUUGGAAACUAGCCAGCUCUCUGGGAAGCGGGUGUGUUGGCUGUGGGUGGAGGCAUCUAGCUGGAGGUCAAGGGUGGUCCAGAGGCAGUGGGUGGAUUGUCACUUGUGGUGACAAGAAGGGCGGUUGGCCGUUGCUCCCACACAUUCUUGUAAGAAGUAAUCCCAGAGGGGCUUCUCUGCCUUGUGUUGGAGUUAGUCACUGACCUGUGGCUGCCGAGGGUGGGGGGCACGCCCUCCCUGUGAACACCUAGGGCGCGGGCGUCUGCCUGUAGAGGACAGACCUUGCUGGGUCCAGCCCGGGGCAGGAUCAGACUGUCCCUUCGUGGGCUCAGGAAGUGCUGGUGCCUCAGGGUGGUCUGAGACUGGAAAUCCUUCCUGUCCUCUGUGAGGCCAGUCUGGACAACCGUGGGGAGGUUCCUGCGUGUCUUCACUGAGCCUCUGGAGUUUCCUUCCGUCAUUUUUGGAGGAAGUGGGAAGGGUCCUGCCUGUUGCCCUUCUAAGAGCUUGAAACCCAGCCUGUCCCUCCACAGAUGUGGAAACUGAGGCCCAGGCUGCGGCCACAGGCAGCUGGAGCUCUCAGUUGGGUGUGGCUUCUCCUGGACACUUCCUUUGACUUCAGGUCAGGUUCCUGGAAGAGACAGCACCUGCUGACCACCAAGGAAGGUCCUCUUCCCUGCCAGCUGGGCCCCACCCUGCUCCGUGCCCACCUAGCACCCUGCCCCUGCCUUGGCGGAGGAGAUCUCCCCGGUAGAUGGCUUAAUCCAAGAUCCACUGGAUGGGAAGACAGCCCUCUAGGGCUGGGCUUCAGGGUCAGGUUAAUUGAAGAAGUGAUUGGAUAGGGGGUGGGGAGAGGGAGGGGGAAGGCUGGGAUCCUGGGCCUCCCUCCUGCUCCCUCCCUCCUCUGCUCGGAGGAGCCAACUUCAAAAGCCUUGUCCGCCUGCCUCCGCCUGCGUCCAGGGGAGCUCUGUUGGCCGGGCUCGGAACUGGACCUGAAGUGGCAGCCGCACUCCCUACCUGAGGACCCCAGGAUCAUGUCCGAGGUCCCCUGGCGGGAGUGAGGGAG
rnacentral:lncRNA from 1 species